GGACCCUCUCUUUUGAGGGCAGUGAGCUAUUGGAUUGUUUCAGCUGUGAGGUACAGCUUCCCCCACAAUGACCUAGCCUUGGUGUCUGCUGGGGAAGGUGAAGGUGCUGCAAUUGCAAAUGGUACCCAAAUACUGGGCUGGGGUCUCCCUGCAGUGUGUGCCACCUCCCCACUCCCAGGACAGGAUAACCAUUCAGAAGAGUGCAAGACAGACAGACCCUAUAGCCCCAGGGACCACAGAAGGGCCUAUAGAGCAGGGUCUCUAUCACCUGCAGGCAGACAGCCCCAAAGAGGACAAGGAGAAGAAGUGGGCUACAGCCUCCCCCCUACUCCCAGUUUAAUCAGCAGGGGUGGGGGGUGUCUAAGUGCAUUGAUGGCAGAAGUGCCUGCUUGUUUGCACGUCUCUCCCACGCCACUCCAUGGAUGCGGCUGUCCCUGCCCCGACCAAGGGCACAGGCUGAGGGUGGACAUCCUUCCCUGGAGAUCUGCAGCCGGUUCCCAGCCUCUCUGGAUGCUCUGGUCAACAAAGAAAGGAUGAGAAACUGUCCUGAGGUAGAAACUGCCUAGCUGUGGAGUGCUGUUGUGAGGAAGGCACACUGACUUGGCAAGUCCCUCAUCUCCCACCAUUACGUGCACCUUGGGACCAGGCCUGGAGGUCAGCCAGACCUGUGGGGACCUCCAGCAACGCUCUGAGAAGAGCAGGAAUGCUGCCUAAUCACAGGCCCUCGCCCUUGGGUCUCUGCCUGAGCCAGGUCAGCCACUCCUGUGCUGAUCUGGACCCUGACCCCAACCCAUGGACUGACUUCCUCCCUUGACCUCAGACCUGCCUUAUCACUGUGGGACUUGCAUGCUCAUCUGGACACUGUCACUGGACCUGCUCUGUUCCCAUCUACUGCUGGCCUGCACCGUGCUGGGUAGGGCAGUGCCUUGCCUGUCCUGCUGACAGCUCAGCUCCAGCUCACCUGUCCUGGCACAGCAUGCUGCUCCUGCUGGUCCCCGACAGUGAGCCAGGUGGGGUUCAUGAUGCUGCUUAUGCUGAGCAUAAAUAAAGGCUUUGCAGGUGAGACCUGAAUUGCUUUCCAGACAAGGCAGACAGACCCUUCCUGGCUGCAAAGCUUAAUUUGUCCACAUCUAUUGGUUUCCUUCAUGGGUGAGGAAACACUGGAUCCCAAUUGAUUCAGCUGAGCUCUUGGAGGGGUCAGGGAUCUGUCUAGGACACAGCUGGGAACAGGCAGAGGCAGCACUGGUGCAUAUGGUGGCUGCCAGCACAGGAGGAGCACUGUUCCCUAGGAAGGGCUGCCACUCCGUGGUCAGCCAAAGCAGGCGGGUAUGUCUAACAUCUGAGGGUUUCCGAUAAUGUUAACCAUGGCUGCUGACAUCGGAUACUGCAGCUGGAGUCCUGGACAGUGCACAAGGAGAAACAUCGCAAAUUGGCAUAGACACAUCCCGGGACUGCCAAAAGCCAUGUGGUGUCGGUGGGAACAGCAGAACAAAGGGUUAUUUCCCACAUUUCAAAACCAGUGGGAUCUAGAAAGACCCAUUUCUGUGGAAAAGGAAGUGGAUUCUGACAUGUGCCCUGUCAUGGUAGAUGUGCUAAGAUUUGUUUGUUUUUUUAAAUGAGGAAAACUCCUCAAUGAAAUAUAGUGCUCUCAAAAAAACCCAAUACACAAACAGUAUGCUGACAUGUUGGUAAAAAAAAAUAAUCUGUUUCACUCAAAACUUUGGAGUUAUUUUUCUAGCUGUUUUCUGUUUUAAUUCUGCAUUUUUUUUCUCUUGCUUCUAGAAACCUGCAAUGUUAAAACCCCAUGUGAGAUUUCCAGGUUAAAAAAUAAAUCCAAACUGAUAACGA